AUAAGCGCACCCCACCAUGCCUGUCUAAUUUUUGUAUUUUUAGUAGAGACAGGGUUUCAUUCACCAUGUUGGUCAGGCUGGUCUCGAAUUCCUGACCUCGUGAUCCACGAGCCUCGGCCUCCCAAAGUGCUGGGAUUACAGGCAUGAGCCCCCGCGCCUGGCCUUCCAUGUGGUCUUAUACUCUUCUACAUAAAGAACACCAUGAACAACAGCUUUUAGGGAAGGUGAUUUUUUUUUUUGUUUUGUUUUUAAGAAAAGCCCUGGGAGUGGAAUGCAGGGCUCAAAAGUGUUUAUGCAUUUUUCUCUCAUCUGGAAAAACACAACUGAACCUUUUUAUUGCUUAGUCUAGAUUGGAACCUUCCUGGCACUCUAAUCCAGACCCUGAAAUUCCUGUAACAUUUGUAAGUUUGGCCACUAAGCAUCUGUUCUACCCAUGCCUGAAGGAAGUAGCUCAUGCCCCAGGACCAGGAAUAGGUUUUGAUGGGUCUUAGCCAAUCCACAUGUCCCACCCGCCGUCUGCAGCCAUUUAUUCAGGGCUGGCUCUGAACCAAAUCAGAGCCAAGGAAAGCAAGAGACUUUUUUGGCAUUCUUUUUUUUUUUGCUCUGUCGCGCAGGCUGGAGUAUAAUGGCACCGCCUUGGCUCACUGCAACCUCUGCCUCCCAGGUUCAAGUGAUUCUCCUGCCUCAGCCUCCCAAGUAGCUGAGACUACAGGCAUGUACCAUCACACCUGGCUAAUUUUUUUGUAUUUUUAGUAGAGACGGGGUUUCGCCAUGUUGACCAGGCUGGUCUCAAACUCUUGACCUCGUGAUCCACCCGCCUCAGCCUCCCAAAGUUCUGGGAUUACAGGCGUGAGCCACCGCACCCAGUCUUUGGCAUUCUUGAGAAAGAGAAGUGGCUGCCCCCCACACCCGUGGGUGCUACCAGGGAGACCUUUUCUGGGACAGUGUAGGGAAGGACAAGGAAUCCUUUAGCACAGUGGUGGUAGGUCGUGGAUAGUGGGUCAUCUAAGCAUGACAUUGCAGAGAUCAGAGCAGGUUGAGAGAGAGAGAGAGAGAGACCCCCUCUCCAUUCCUGAUUAUGUUGUUUGAGUCACUUGAAGCCAGCUAACAGAUUCCAUUUGCUUAAACCAGUUUCCAUUCAUUCAUUUCUUUGACCAAUAUAUACUGAUCACUUACUAUGUGGACAAUUUCUAGGAACCAUUUGAGCUAGGUUUUCCAUGAGCAUAAUUCUAAAUCUAAUCUUAACCUAACCCUUAGUCAUAAACUAGAACUCUGACCCUUUUCUAGUGAAGAGCUUUUAGUGGCAAGAAACAAAGUCCUGGACCACUCACACUGACCCAGUCCAAGGGGCAUUGGUGUAAGAAUAUGCAUGAAUCACUAAGUGAAAUUCCAGGAAUAUUACAAAGAUUUUACCAGCAAUGGGCCUCAUGAGGGACCUAACUGAUGAGGAAUUCAAUCCCUCCCUACUACCUGUGUCUUCAAAGAUUCUGAAUGUCAAAAACCCCAACUAAUAAAGAGAUCCUUAAAUGAUUCAUUCCCUGGACAAACUCCGUGACCACCUAUAUAGAUCUUUAAUAGGAAUCUCCCCUGGACAAAUUUUUUUUUUUUUUGACUGAGUCUUAUACUCUGUCACCCAGGCUGGAGUGCAGUGGCGUGAUCUCGGCUCACUGCAACCUCCGCCUCCCGGGUUCAAGCAAUUAUCCUGCCUCAGCCCCCAAGUAGCUGGGACUACAGGCACCUGCCACCACACCUGG
rnacentral:lncRNA from 1 species